rnacentral:rRNA from 1 species
GACGAACGCUGGCGGCGUGCCUAAUACAUGCAAGUCGAACGGACAGGCCCGGCUUUUGUGGGGUGCUCGAGUGGCGAACGGGUGUGUAACACGUGAGUAACCCGCCCUUGACUUUGGGAUAACUUCAGGAAACUGGGGCUAAUACCGGAUAGGAGCUCUUGCUGCAUGGUGGGGGUUGGAAAGUUUCGGCGGUAGGAGAUGGACUCGCGGCUUAUCAGCUUGUUGGGGGGGUAGUGGCUUACGAAGGCUUUGACGGGUAGCCGGCCUGAGAGGGUGACCGGGCACCAGAGGCCUGAGGUACGGCCCAGACGGCAACGGGAGGCAGCGGUGGAGAGUAUGGCAGAGUGAGCGCGAGCCAGAUGCGGAGGCGCCGGGUGCGGGAUAACGUGCUUCGAGUUAUGAACCGCUUUCGCAUGUAACGAAGCGUGAGUGACGGUAAUGGGUAAGAAAGCAACGGCUAACUACGUG